rnacentral:rRNA from 1 species
UACGUAGGGUGCAAGCGUUGCCCGGAUUUAUUGGGCGUAAAGGGCGCGUAGGCGGCUCGGCACGUCCGUUGUGAAAUCGCCCGGCUCAACUGGGCGGGGUCAGCGGGUACGGCCGAGCUUGAGCAAGCUAGGGGGCAAUGGAAUUCCCGGUGUAGUGGUGGAAUGCGUAGAUAUCGGGAGGAACACCAGUGGCGAAGGCGGUUGCCUGGGGCUUUGCUGACGCUGAUGCGCGAAAGCGUGGGGAGCGAGCCGG